rnacentral:rRNA from 1 species
UACGUAGGGUGCAAGCGUUGUCCGGAAUUAUUGGGCGUAAAGAGCUCGUAGGCGGUCUGUCGCGUCGGAUGUGAAAAUCCAGGGCUCAACCCUGGACCUGCAUUCGAUACGGGCAGACUAGAGUUCGGUAGGGGAGACUGGAAUUCCUGGUGUAGCGGUGGAAUGCGCAGAUAUCAGGAGGAACACCGGUGGCGAAGGCGGGUCUCUGGGCCGAAAUUGACGCUGAGGAGCGAAAGCGUGGGGAGCAAACAGG